rnacentral:misc_RNA from 1 species
GAUGAAGAACGUAGCGAAAUGCGAUACGUAAUGUGAAUUGCAGAAUUCAGUGAAUCAUCGAGUCUUUGAACGCACAUUGCGCCCGUCAGUAUUCUGGCGGGCAUGCCUGUUCGAGCGUCAUUACGCCCCUCAAGUCCCCUGUGGACUUGGUGUUGGGGAUCGGCGAGGCUGGUUUUCCAGCACAGCCGUCCCUUAAAUUAAUUGGCGGUCUCGCCGUGGCCCUCCUCUGCGCAGUAGUAAAACACUCGCAACAGGAGCCCGGCGCGGUCCACUGCCGUAAAACCCCCCAACUUUUUAUAGUUGACCUCGAAUCAGGUAGGACUACCCGCUGAACUUAAGCAUAUCAAUAAGCGGAA